rnacentral:rRNA from 1 species
AGUGAACGCUGGCGGUAGGCCUAACACAUGCAAGUCGAACGGCAGCACAGUAAGAGCUUGCUCUUACGGGUGGCGAGUGGCGGACGGGUGAGGAAUACAUCGGAAUCUACUUUUUCGUGGGGGAUAACGUAGGGAAACUUACGCUAUACCGCAUACGACCUACGGGUGAAAGCAGGGGAUCUUCGGACCUUGCGCGAUUGAAUGAGCCGAUGUCGGAUUAGCUAGUUGGCGGGGUAAAGGCCCACCAAGGCGACGAUCCGUAGCUGGUCUGAGAGGAUGAUCAGCCACACUGGAACUGAGACACGGUCCAGACUCCUACGGGAGGCAGCAGUGGGGAAUAUUGGACGAUGGGCGCAAGCCUGAUCCAGCCAUACCGCGUGGGUGAAGAAGGCCUUCGGGUUGUAAAGCCCUUUUGUUGGGAAAGAAAAGCAGCAGGUUAAUACCCCGCUGUUCUGACGGUACCCAAAGAAUAAGCACCGGCUAACUUCGUG